rnacentral:rRNA from 1 species
GUGACAGCCGCCGCGGUAAUACGGGGGGGGCAAGCGUUGUUCGGAAUUACUGGGCGUAAAGGGUUCGUAGGUGGCCAACUAAGUCAGACGUGUAAUCCCUCAGCUUAACUGGGGAACUGCGUCUGAUACUGGUGUGGCUUGAGUGCAGGAGAGGAACGCGGAAUUCCAGGUGUAGCGGUGAAAUGCGUAGAUAUCUGGAGGAACACCGGUGGCGAAGGCGGCGUUCUGGACUGCAACUGACACUGAGGAGCGAAAGCCAGGGGAGCAAACGGGAUUAGAUACCCGAGUAGUCC